UACGUAGGCAGCAAGCGUUGUUCGGAGUUACUGGGCGUAAAGGGUGCGUAGGCGGCCUUAUAAGUAUGGUGUGAAAUCUCCCGGCUUAACUGGGAGGGUGCGCUAUAGACUGUGGGGCUAGAGUGUGGGAGAGGAAAGUGGAAUUCCUGGUGUAGCGGUGAAAUGCGUAGAUAUCAGGAGGAACACCGGUGGUGUAAACGGCUUUC
rnacentral:rRNA from 1 species